GAAAUGCGAUAAGUAAUGUGAAUUGCAGAAUUCAGUGAAUCAUCGAAUCUUUGAACGCACAUUGCGCCCCCUGGUAUUCCGGGGGGCAUGCCUGUUCGAGCGUCAUUUCAACCCUCAAGCCUGGCUUGGUGAUGGGGCACUGCUUCGAGAGGAGCAGGCCCUGAAAUUCAGUGGCGAGCUCGCCAGGACCCCGAGCGUAGUAGUUAUAUCUCGCUCUGGAAGGCCCUGGCGGUGCCCUGCCGUUAAACCCCCAACUUCUGAAAAUUUGACCUCGGAUCAGGUAGGAAUACCCGCUGAACUUAA
rnacentral:misc_RNA from 1 species